GACGUCACCGACGCGCGCCGACCCAGCGUGGCGCCGGCGCUCGGGCGCUCGGGCGCGGCCUCCGCUGCUGAGACAGAAACCAACAUGCUAAUCUUAAAAUUUAUAUAGAAGUGCACAAGUCCCCAGAUAGCUAACAUAAUUUUGAAAAGGAAGAACAAAGUUGGAGGACGUGCCCAGUGGAAAGGGAGCAGGUAAGGGACUAACGGUGCCUGGCUCUUCAGGGCCAGACCUCCUUCCAUCCACAUGUCAUUGCCAGGGUUGGGUCACUUCACAUUAGAGACCGAGGGCUGUGCCCACCCUGCUCGUCUUGGGUCACGUUCAUCACCCCCACACGCCUCUCCACAGUAUCUGUGUGCUUCCUGCCGAGAGACCGCACCUGCAGCCUCCUGUGGGCUGCUCUGGGGCCCCACAUCCUCCUCCUCAGCAUGGAGAGAAGGUGAUCUCCGCUGAGCCAGCCGCCCGCAGACCGGCCGAGUGCCGUCUGAGAAGAAAAGCCCAGCACCUUUGCCUCGAGGCAGGCCAAGCUCUGAGGUGUAGCUUAUGCUCCGAUACUUCCCGCGGGAUCUGGCUGAGUCCGGGACGUCACCUGGAACUGUCACCUGGAACUACACCCUCGUUUGCCUUCUCCCUUCUCUGUCCUACUCCCCUUCCCGACUCCGGCUUCUUCAGCACCCCACUUGUUCAACAAAUCAUUGCACCCCAGAGAAGCAAGGACUGGUGAGCUCUUUGCCAGCCUCAGGCUCCUUAUGUAUCUGACGUUUUCUGAGAGACGGCUCCAGGCUUCUCUUCACGGAGAAACCUCAGCUUGUCUCCAUCGCUGAUUGGCUCUGGUGACAUGUCUGUUUCUCCUCACUGGGAUGGUCCUCCUGCAGCCAGGAGAUGGGGCUCAGCCUGUUCGUCUGGGCAUCCCUGCUGCCCCACAGCCCAGGGACAGGCACACACGCCGUUCCUGAACUUCACGUGUCUCCACGAGGCUGUGCUCUGAGGGAAGCGUGUGGUGUGAUCUGAGGACUCUUUGUUCCCGCCGCCUCCCUGACUGGUGUGCAGAGAGCUGAGACGUCCAAGGGGGCAGCUGGAGAGGGAGGCUGGGCUCUGGCUGCCGUCCUCCAUUUUGCAUGAACAGUUAAAUCAUCACCGGCCCCCCAGGCAUUACAGCUCCUGAAUUACACACUCUAUUGCUCAGCAAUUAAGCAAUAAUGCAAUUAGAACUAACACGGUGAGUGAGGAUGAUCUGUGAGGCUGAUGCAGACAGGGCUGCGUUUAAAUAUUGAGCUCGAUGCAGACAAAGAAUAACCACAUAGUUCUAUGGGGUUUUUUUCAUAAAAAGGAAUCAGCCUCUGAACACUUGGGGUUUUAUGUCAUCACUCUGUUCAGCCCGCCCGCAGCUUUCUGCUGUGAGACGCAUCUGAGGAGUGCCUCCCUCGUGGUUUCUGCUUUGCUGGUCUCCGCCGUGCAGUGGGCUGUUUCCGCAGGCAGGUCACGUCCGCAGGCCCCUCUGACCUCAGCCAUGCCUGUCUGGGGACAUGAUGACAACUGCUUCAUACCUCAUCCCACCCUGUUGUCCCUCCUGAGCUGGCGGAGGGCCCAGGGACCAAGCCCCUCCCCGGAGCAUGGGGUUCCCAUGGCAGUGACCCCAGGAAGGGUCAAGUGUAGGGAAGUCAUCCCCGGAGACUCCAACAUGACAUGGCCCCCUGGCUCCCAGCAUGCACCACAGACAUCAUAGCCAGUGCUCUGUAAAUCACAGUGGCUGCAUCCUGAGACAGAGCCCUUCCUACCGUUGGGUUAAAAUGGGCUUUCCUAUUGGAAAUGUUGGUAAUAAUGGAGUUUUUUUUCAAUGGUCUUUCACAUGAAAGUCAGUUUCCCAGAUUGCUUUGUGUUAUGUUGAGCCAUGUGAAAUUGCUGACAUUCAACCAUUUUGAUCUAUAAAAAUGGCAAAUUUGCUGUUAUUUGACCAAUAAAAAUGGCAACUUUGAAUGGUUCAACCUAAUAAUUUCAUUAAUUCAUGCAAAACCAAACAUCUGGGGCCCAGUGACUCAUGGAAAGCCCUUUAUUCUGGGACCUGGUUGGUUUAGAGUCUUGAGUGGUAGCUCCCCUCAGUCCUGGUCUGUGGGGUGGAACUCGUGAUCCAUGUCCCCCCGUCACACAGGGUCACAGAGAUGACAGGUGUUAAAUGGCCUCAAAUAGCCAGGUGCCCAUGUUUGUUGGGUUCAUGGCCGACUGUUGGGCUGACUCGUAUGUGUAAUGAGCAACUCCUCUGCCUCGGCUCUCUGUGUUCCUUCUUUAACUCCAAGUUUUUAUCUCUUUGGGAUAAAGACACUUGGGGACGAGCUCUGGGGACUGGCUGAGGUGACUGUGGGAAGCUAAACCCUAUAUCUGCUAUGGCGGCAUCUCAUCAAAAGGCAGAACAAUUGGGUUAAAAGUGCAAAACUCAAUGUGUCAGUUACUUUGUCUCCAGGAGGUUAUGUAACCAGUUUAGAUCUUUUUAUUGAAAAAGAAAUUGACUUUUUAAGAAAACCUUGAAAUUCAGUUUUCCCUUCUCAGGGCAGCUUAGAGACCAUGUUAUUUAUAAAAUGUUUUGAAAUUCUUAGAAGAAUAAUAUCAGAGGAAAAGAAUACCAUUCUCCAAACGUUAUGCCUCCUUCGGUGGCCUUACUCAGCCUUGUGCCUGUAAGAAACGUCUGUUAGCUGUUGUGCAGGGCUCCACGCAGUGGCAGUGGCGUUCCUACAUGGACCGGGAGGAAAUGGAAGGUCUCGUGUGACUUCAGGACCUCCUGAAGUGGAGUUCAGCCUGUUAGUCUUCGGAGAUGGCAGACGCUCUGGGGCCCUGCCUAGAUCCUGUCCCCUUCGUGCUUUGGGACAUGUCAGCCCCACUUUCAGUAGCCAGCACCCCCCUCUCUUUGCCUGAGGGCUCCUUUGUCACUGGGUACAGCUCCAGGAGCAGUUCUGAAGGACAUACAGGGGUGGAUGUGUAAAGACCCCAGCCCCCUCUUCCCUUGGUGGGACAAUGGUGACGUGUGAUUUGCGGCCUCUGAGAGCUCCCCAGUGGAACCAGUUUCACCUCCAUGCAGGUGGAAAGGAGCCAGGUAACGCUGUUUAUUGGCUGCCUUCCCUCCCCUGUCUCACUUUUCCUCUCCCCUACAGAUAUUUCAUGGUCUCCAAACAAACUUCCUUUGCUCAAAUCUUCACGUCAGGCUCGGCACCUGGGCUCACCCAAGCUACGACAUUCAGUACUCUGGGUGUGGCACGUGUGUGGUCCCGCCACGUUUACUAGAAAUGGUUGGGCAUGGCGGCCCAGACGUGGGACCCUAGCUGCCCCCUCAUUGGAAUGGCUGAGUAAUGACCUCCAGGGGCAUUGCAGAUGGCCUCCUGGUGAAAUCUCCCCUUUCAGUCUUUCUUGGUGGCACAAAGCGGGGACUUCAGGAGCAACAAGCAAGGACAAAGCCUCCGAAUUCUCUCUCCACUUUAAGAUUCCUAUUUUGUGGCAAAUGCACAUGGUAGCAUGCCAAACGUCACAUGGCUCUUUCAUAAAUAAAAACCAAUUGCUGACAUAUGUCCUGCCUGACAGAUCAUUUUCUUGGUCCCUGCCUCAUAAAAUUUAGGUGAGAACAGUAAAUUCCUCAUCUAUCUGACCAAUUUCACUUUCCUACGCUGUCAACAAAGGCCUCCUUCAGACCGGGGCCUGCCUGGCAUUGGCAGAGCCUCCGCACGGCCGUGUCUCUGUCCCGGUGAGUCUGUGUGCAGAAGCCUGGCGCUGACCUUUCUUCAGUUUUAUCUGAGCGGAGUGUUCCUUGUUAUUUUUGAUGAGUGAUGUACCUGGCACCCCCCACCUCAGUCUGCACCAUGGCAGGUCCCCUCUGAUUCACGCGGCACUGCCUCCCAGGCGCCACUCCUUGGGGCUGAUGCUGGGUGUCAGUGCAGCCCCGAGAUGUAUCCGUGUCAAGUGGGCUCUGAGAUCCCCAUGCAGGCUGCCUUUUGCUGACACCCUGAGACCCACUGGGUCUUGUUUCCACAGAUCAGUGCAGCUCAGAGAAAGACGCAGUGGGGCCACCUCAUCUGGUGACAGCCGCUCGUGGAAAAGCGUGGAGUUUUGCCCGAACACCAGCAGCUCCCAAAUCCACCUGUGUCUUGUCUAAUAGGACUUUCCAAACGUCAGGACGAGGGAGGGAGGUCUCUCCAGGCCCAGCUCACAUGCCACGUCCGCAUUUUCCCACCCAGGUUUGAUGGGCCCCUGCUGUCCCUCCACUGCAUGCUGUCACAAUUAUUAUAAUUACUCCCCCCCUGGGGCCCUUUCCCUCCAUUACUGUGCUCAUCACGGUCAAAUCUGAGUUCCAGCCAACUGUGGACGUGUUCACUCCCCCUGCUGGAUCUCCAGCUCCUUUAGGGGAGGCAACCCUGCUGUUGUCAUCUCUUUCCCCUAUAGAGGGCUGUUUACAGAGUAAUAAUCAAUGUGUGUUUGUUGAAUGAAUAAAAGUAGCUAAUGACCAGGUUUUUGCAGACCUCAUGGGUCCAUGGCCCCCAUGACACCCCACAUCCACAGCCUUCCUCCUCUGAGUCCUGGCUGCCACUUGCUCAGUGCUUCAGCCAAACAGAUCCAACCUUUAUGCCAUCUUUUGGGGUGUUGGAUGUGGCACAUCACCCACCCUAGAUGGGCAAGAUCCCUUCCUCAGUCAUCUGCUCGGUGCCUCCACCCUCAGCCACUUUGGAGACAGGUCUGAAAAGUAUCGGGUGCCUGGAGAGCCUCUUCAUGGAAUAAAUGUUCUGAAAACUGUUGGAAGUUCUAUCUUUAUGAAUGAUGUCCUCCUUUUUCUUUGAUGAAAUUCUUGUCUUUAAUUCUAUUGCUUUUAUCUUAUUACAGAAGUAAUAGAUGCUCAUCACAGAAGAGUCAAACCUCUCGGUCAGGCAUUGACUAUACACAGUUCCACCUGUCAUGGAGACAUAGGCUUCCCACAUCUUGGUGUACAACCUUCAAACCUUUAUUUGUGUGCAUGUGUGUGUGUGCUUCUGUUUCUCUAUGUAAUAAAAUUGGCAUUCAAACCCUAUUUUAAACACGCCGCAGGAGCUUGCUACUUAAAGAAAUUCUAAAGUGGUUCCUGCUGGGAGAUGAGUAAUCCCCCUGGGAUUUAUUUGUGCUGCUGGCUCAGGCAAAACCUGGAAGUCAUUAAGUGUUUAUGGUUGGGUAUGUAUGUGUCUGAUAAUCUCUGAAAAUUUCUGUCUCUACCUCUGCCUCCAUAUCCAUCCAUCCAUCCAUCCAUCCAUCCA